rnacentral:sRNA from 1 species
GGUUCCACAAUGGUACAGGCAGCAUCACGCUGCACAAUGGUUUCCAGGCAGUGAAAGAGGGUGAUUCAGCAAGCCACUCUUCUUCUAUUUUCUUUAACCUCCCCUUCACUUUUUAUUUUUAUGGGGGUGGGUGGUGCUUGCUAUAUGCUUACCUUUUUCUUUUCUUUUUUCAUUUUUACAAAUUUCCUUUUUUGUCCUCACCCCUCAAUUCCUAGGGGCUUGAGUGAGUUUAAGAUUGGGUUUUCUUGGAAAUCACCUGUCCAUCGUUAAUUUUAAACAAUCUCCAUAUCUCCAAAGAAUCUCUUCCAUGUUAGUCUGGAAUGUGGUUAAUGAAAAACAAGUAGGGAGGAUUUCUGGGGCAAACACUGCCGGAUCAGGAUCGUAGUUCUCAGGCACGGAAUGGCUAGUGUGAGAAACACCAACGGCAGGCCCAUCUCAGAUCUUCACUAUGGCAACUUAUGCAAGAAACUGUUGAAUUAGACCCGUUUCCUAUAGAUGAGAAACCAUACAAGCUGUGGUAUUUAUGAGCCUCCAUUUCUUAUACUACUGCAGUGAACCAACAUUGGAUGUGAAAAUUGCCUUUUGUCAGGGAUUCGAUAAACAAGUGGAUGUGUCAUAUAUUGCCAAACAUUACAACAUGAGCAAAAGCAAAGUUGACAACCAGUUCUACAGUGUGGAAGUGGGAGACUCAACCUUCACAGUUCUCAAGCGCUACCAGAAUCUAAAGCCUAUUGGCUCUGGGGCUCAGGGCAUAGUUUGUGCGGCGUAUGAUGCUGUCCUUGACAGAAAUGUGGCCAUUAAGAAGCUCAGCAGACCCUUUCAGAACCAAACACAUGCCAAGAGAGCGUACCGGGAGCUGGUCCUCAUGAAGUGUGUGAACCAUAAAAACAUUAUUAGUUUAUUAAAUGUCUUCACACCCCAGAAAACGCUGGAGGAGUUCCAAGAUGUUUACUUAGUAAUGGAACUGAUGGAUGCCAACUUAUGUCAAGUGAUUCAGAUGGAAUUAGACCAUGAGCGAAUGUCUUACCUGCUGUACCAAAUGUUGUGUGGCAUUAAGCACCUCCAUUCUGCUGGAAUUAUUCACAGGGAUUUAAAACCAAGUAACAUUGUAGUCAAGUCUGAUUGCACAUUGAAAAUCCUGGACUUUGGACUGGCCAGGACAGCAGGCACAAGCUUCAUGAUGACUCCAUAUGUGGUGACACGUUAUUACAGAGCCCCUGAGGUCAUCCUGGGGAUGGGCUACAAGGAGAACGGUAGGGAUGCUUCGGGAGAGCAGCAUCAAAACCAUGAAUAAAAUGGGUGCACGUUGUAGAUAGCCAAGGGGAAUGUUCUCUUUUAUGUACAUGCUUUUAUAAAGUAGGGCUGCCAGAUAGCAUAUUCAGGGUUUUUUUUAAAUACUACUGGUAAGAAACACUCAUUAAAAAUGUGAAGGAUGUUAUUGAGAAGUCAGUUUUGCUAGAAGAGCACUAAAUGUUAAUAGUGAAAAAGAAUUGUAAAUGGAGUCUGAUUAAACAGUCAAGUGGAUGCUGAUUAGCACACGUGCCUAGAUAUUGAGAAAAAUUGCUAUUUGGGUUGCAGCUCAGCUGAGCAUGAGUGUGAAAGCAGGAAGGAAUCUACCACAGUUAGCCAUGUGGCUUUUAUGUCGUAUCUCAGACUGAUGGCUGUAGUUCCAGAAAAAGACAAGCAAAAAAGUGACACAAAUCCUUGGAGUAAAAAUCUUCAUAGACAACUUUGAAAUAAUCCAAAUUAUUUAAACUGAAUAAGAAUUUCUGUAAUAAUUUAAGCUGCUCUGUAAGAAAUAUUUAGAAUAGCAAUUGCCUAAUAAAU